GGUCUCUCUUGCAGAAGAGUUUGAGGGUGCUCUCUUUGUGGUAGGAAGAAUAAAUUGGAUAUUUAGUAAGCUGCCCAAUUGUGGUGGAGACUCCUAGGUGUUCACCAAAACCUCUUUCCUUUUUUCAUGGCUGAACAAGGAUGCUGAGGAUCUAUCUGCAUGAAGGAAGAGCUACAUGAUGGAAAGAGCCUGGAUUACUAAAUAAUUGAAUUACAUGAGCAAGAAAUCAUCUUCCACUGUGUUACAUUAUUGAGAUUUGGAGAGAGUGCACAAGUGGGUGGAGGGGCAGAAGGAGAUGGAGAAGUGCACACCCCACUGAGCAGAGAGCCUGACAGAGGGCUUGAUCCCAGGACCUGGAGACCAUGACCUGAGCUGAAGGCAAAUGCUUAACUGACUGAGCGACCCAGGUGCCCUGCUUUUUUUUUAAUCUAAAAAUGAUAUAUUGAAAACUUUUGUUUUGGGAUGGUUGGAAUCAAAAUAAAUGUGAAAGCCCCU
rnacentral:lncRNA from 1 species